rnacentral:rRNA from 1 species
UACGGGGGGGGCAAGCGUUGUUCGGAAUUACUGGGCGUAAAGGGCGCGUAGGCGGCCUGCUAAGUCGGAUGUGAAAUCCCUCGGCUCAACCGAGGAACUGCAUCCGAUACUGGCGGGCUUGAAUCCGGGAGAGGGAUGUGGAAUUCCAGGUGUAGCGGUGAAAUUCGUAGAUAUCGGGAGGAACACCAGUGGCGAAGGCGGCGACCUGGGCCAAUACUGACGCUGAGGUGCGAAAGCGUGGGGAGCAAACAGG